CCUCGAUCGUGCGAACCGCGAAUCUCAAUGUUACCGCUGUCAGAUCGCCAACCGACCAUCUACGAUCUGUCAACACCCGACUCACCGUGUCCAACUAUAUAAUGAAAGAACAAAAAACCCAAAGUAACUCAAUAAUACUUAAAAUACGAGGAUCGAUCGGAACGCAGUUGAGAAUGAUGGAAAAUGAAUGGAGCAUGCAUUAUUAAUUCUCGAUGAAAUGGCCAAUGAAAUUUACCUUGGACAAGUCGACGUUACCGAAAGUAUGGUAAAUGAGUCGUGGUACGCCAGCCAAAGAAGCGGCAAGCCAUUGAAUGACCAAUUUCAAUUGAGGAUCCCCUUUUAAUCGCGAACCGCAUCCCCAAUUUCCGGUGACGACGGGCAUCGGGCCACCUCCUCCUUGAGGACUACUCUCUCCCGGUAACUAAAUCCGAAAUGAAGAAACAAAUGGAAACUAUACAGUUUUCACGCCCGAAUAUCCAAUAGUAAAUCAAACUUAUCGAGAUAACGUUCGGUGUGAAGAAGAAAGCAAAAAAAAAAAAAAAAAAAAUUAAUUGGUCAAUGGGACACGAGCACGGAGAUACGGAUUUUAUUGAGGCACAAGGCACGAUGCAACACUGAAAAUUGUAAAAUAUAGAACGAGAGACGGAAGAAUUUGAAUUAGUGUACACCGAUGACGAAUGUCAAGAGGAAAAAAAAAUCAA